rnacentral:rRNA from 1 species
GGACGAACGCUGGCGGCGUGCUUAACCCAUGCAAGUCGAACGGAAAGGCCCUGCUUUUGUGGGGUGCUCGAGUGGCGAACGGGUGAGUAACGCGUGAGUAACCUGCCCUUGACUUUGGGAUAACUUCAGGAAACUGGGGCUAAUACCGGAUAGGAGCUCCUGCUGCAUGGUGGGGGUUGGAAAGUUUCGGCGGUUGGGGAUGGACUCGCGGCUUAUCAGCUUGUUGGUGGGGUAGUGGCUUACCAAGGCUUUGACGGGUAGCCGGCCUGAGAGGGUGACCGGCCACAUUGGGACUGAGAUACGGCCCAGACUCCUACGGGAGGCAGCAGUGGGGAAUAUUGCACAAUGGGCGGAAGCCUGAUGCAGCAACGCCGCGUGCGGGAUGACGGCCUUCGGGUUGUAAACCGCUUUCGCCUGUGACGAAGCGUGAGUGACGGUAAUGGGUAAAGAAGCACCGGCUAACUACGUG